rnacentral:rRNA from 1 species
UACGUAGGGUGCAAGCGUUAAUCGGAAUUACUGGGCGUAAAGCGUGCGCAGGCGGCUUUGCAAGACAGAUGUGAAAUCCCCGGGCUUAACCUGGGAACUGCAUUUGUGACUGCAUAGCUAGAGUACGGUAGAGGGGGAUGGAAUUCCGCGUGUAGCAGUGAAAUGCGUAGAUAUCGGAAGGAAUACCGAUGGCGAAGGCAGCCCCCUGGGAUAACACUGACGCUCAUGCACGAAAGCGUGGGGAGCAAACAGG